rnacentral:rRNA from 1 species
GGGCCCGCACAAGCGGUGGAUUAUGUGGAUUAAUUCGAUGCAACGCGAAAAAACCUUACCUGGCCUUGACAUGUACCGAAUUUAGCAGAGAUGCUUUAGUGCUCGUAAGAGAACGGUAACACAGGUGCUGCAUGGCUGUCGUCAGCUCGUGUCGUGAGAUGUUGGUUAAGUCCCGCAACGAGCGCAACCCUUGCCAUUAAUUGCCAUCAUUUAGUUGGGCACUUUAAUGGGACUGCCGGUGACAAACCGGAGGAAGGUGGGGAUGACGUCAAGUCCUCAUGGCCCUUGAUGGCCAGGGCUCACACGUAAUACAAGUGGAUGGUACAGAGGGACGCCAACCCGCGAGGGGGAGCC